UGCGCGCCAUCUCGCGUGCGCAGAUCGAUUCUAUUCUGGAUUUGGCACGGUGCACCAUCGUGUCUCAGCUGUCGAACAAGGACUUCGAUUCGUAUGUCCUCUCUGAGUCGAGCCUCUUUGUGUACCCCUACAAGAUCAUUCUCAAGACCUGUGGGACGACAAAGCUCCUCCUUUCCAUUCCCAGAAUCCUUGAUCUUGCUGCAGACCUCUCGCUCUCUGUUCUGUCUGCAAAGUACUCUCGUGGGACCUUCAUUUUCCCCGGCGCGCAGCCAUCUCCGCACCGCAGCUUCUCUGAGGAAGUCUCUGUCCUGAAUGGCUUCUUUGGCAGCCUCAAGUCCGGCGGUAAUGCUUAUGUGAUUGGUGAUCCAUCGAUGCCGAACCGGAAAUGGCAUAUAUACUAUGCUACCCAGAAACCUGAGCUGCCUUUGGUUACUCUGGAGAUGUGCAUGACCGGGCUGGACGCUGAACGCGCAUCGAUCUUCUUCAAGAACUCAGUUGAUGGCCAUAAUUCUUCUGCGAACGAGAUGACGAAGCUCUCUGGGAUCUCCGACAUCAUUCCUGAGAUGGAAAUAUGCGACUUUGAUUUCGAGCCCUGUGGAUACUCCAUGAACGGGAUUCACGGUCCAGCACUCUCUACAAUCCAUGUGACACCCGAGGAUGGUUUCAGCUACGCGAGCUACGAAGCCAUGGGGUUCAACCCUCACUCCUUGAAAUAUCACGACCUGGUCGAAAGAGUCCUCAGGUGCUUCGGCCCUUCUGAGUUCUCCGUUGCAGUCACCAUCUUCGGAGGACGUGGGCUGGCUGCCACAUGGGCGAAGAAGGUUGAUCUGCAUGGAUAUGCUUGCAAUGACAUGGUGGAGCAGGAGCUUCCUGGUGAUGGACUGUUGGUCUACCAGACCUUCGCCGCUUCCACUGCGACGGCAGAGUCACCAAGGUCCAUCCUGCAUCACUGGGAAGGAGUUACUUUGGAGAAUGCAGGAAAGGAUGGCAAAGGAGGAGUCUUCUCAGAACGUGAGGUGCUGGUGGAGAAGGGAGGGAAAGAUGAGAAGGGGAGAUUAUGAGAAAGGUGUUCUAUUCCUGUUUGCCUGUUGGUCUUUUUUGGCAAAGCAGCCGGCCAGGCUACUAUUAGUAUAUGCUUACGUGAAUAAGAACUCUGGGUG
rnacentral:lncRNA from 1 species